CUCAAUAAUAAAACCAGUCUUCCCUUUCCCAAAAAUUUCAUAUCCUCUCCUAAAUACAUAACACUUUUUCCACUUACCAAAAAACUUCCUUCCAAUAUCUUGUAUUUUUAUUAUAAAAUUAUUUUUAUAUAUUCAAAUGCAUUAAAUUUUUAUUAUUGGGACCCUUCAACCAUUUUGCAACAGCCGUAGAUGCCUUCCACGGUUAAUACCAACUCAACUUGAAUCAAUGGAUAUAAAAGCUAUCAUGAGUUUGAUUUAAAUACAGCUUCAUUCUAACCGUUGAAGAUGAAGUUUGUUCAUUCAGCAACAUCUAUACCAUGCAAUUUGAUUGAUACUCUUUUUCCAGUGUCAACGAUCAUGAUUUCCUUGAUUAAAUAAAGAGUUAAUGGGAACACUCAUAAACCUUUCACUCGAGGAAACUUUGAGCACAUCAUUGAAAUCCUUCGCUUCAUAAGAAUCUAAUGUUCGCCAUUGCUAUGAUGUGUUAUGCUUAUAAUUUGUAGGAGAGACAUUGACUCUUUAAGUUAAAAUAUUAAAUAAAUUAUGAAAUGUAUGGGAUAAAAAAUAAAAGUAGUUUAUCUUCAUUAUUUUGGAAAUUAAUAACUAUCGGGAACAAUGUGAUGAAGGAAGCAACCCCAUCAUCAAUGAAUGAACGGGAUAAUAUUAUUAAAUGAUGGAAUCUAGUCCAUCAUAAAUUCCUAAACUAUUAUCAAACACAAUGAUUAAACCAUCAUUGCGGAAACAAGACAUAAUCAUUUCUAAUCCUCCUCCAAGUCGAAUUAUCGCAAUACCAUGGGAUGAUAUGGAUUCAUCUAAUCCUACUCUAAGUAGCAUUAUCACAAGGCCAAUGGAUGAGAUUCUGUUCACCUGAUCCUCCUCUAAAUUGCAUUAUCAUAAUGUAAUUCUCAAAGUUGCAUUGUAACAAAUUUAAAUUACAUUAUCGAAGUUGUAUUAUCACAAUACCAUCCUACAAGUGACUUCAUAUGUAUUAAGGAAUGAUUAAUACAAAUAAUUUGAUUAAAUAUGUAA